CAAAGAAGCUGUUUCGUCAGAUAUAAUUGGACUCUUCAGGGGGAAGGAAUGAUUCAUCAUAGUCAAAAAAAAGGAAGAGGGAUCCAUUCCGGGAUGAGUGAGAGAACAGGGAAAAGGGUCUUGUGUUGUGAAAAAUAAUAGUGACACAGGGGCGUUUGGGAUGUGGAAGGAACAGAACAGAGGCCAGAGGAAAAUGGCACAAAAUGAGAAAAAACUGUGAAUGAUAAAUGGAGAGAGGGCAAGUUCUGGAGAGCAUGGGAUAUGAGCGGAUGUUUAUCCAGGCUCCUAGCUCGCAGCUCUCAGUGGACAGGGCCUUCCACCAAUCAUUCUCAGCUUCAAUACCAACACGUAAACACACAGCCGCUUGUGUUGCAACAGAAGAUGCGCAUGGCUCUGAUUUCACACCAGGCUGGCAUGUUAUUGUCCCAUUCAAGACCCAAGCUCUGGAUUCCUAUGGGAGAAGCUUCCUGCUGAGUGUCAGAGAAAGAAGUCACUCUCUUUCAACACAUGAGUGGGUGCUUUUGAUGGCCCCUCUCACAACCUGUGGUGUGACGAGAUACUGUGCUGUUGCUUAUCAUUCAGAUCAUCAUGCAGAUAUGGAUGCUAGGGACCGCUUUUCAUCCACUCCUGCAGCAUCCUUCCUCUUCAUACUCCAGUUGCCAGGAGGUAUAUGCAGGAGGCAUUUCCAACAGUGCCUUUGUGACAUUCCCCCUGGGUUCUACAGAGGAUUGAAGCAUAGCAGGGAAGAUUAACGCUUGCAUGUUUUGUAUUAUUCUUUUAAACCCUGG
ensembl:lncRNA